AAAAUGCUAUGGCUUCAAAGUCUCUUCAGGUGCUUGCCUCAUCAGGCAGUCCAAGAAAAUCAGGGUAACACGUUUUCCCUCGAUUAAGUUUAAACAAAUUGAUACAUCAAAAGAAAAGGUGUAUCAAACCACUCACUGAAAUGUGAGCACAAAAUGAAAACACUAAUUCACAAGACCCCUCUCUUUGAACACGUCAAGCAUGGCAGC
rnacentral:misc_RNA from 1 species